GACGAACGCUGGCGGCGUGCUUAACACAUGCAAGUCGAACGGAAAGGCCCUGCUUUUGUGGGGUGCUCGAGUGGCGAACGGGUGAGUAACACGUGAGUAACCUGCCCUUGACUUUGGGAUAACUUCAGGAAACUGGGGCUAAUACCGGAUAGGAGCUCCUGCUGCAUGGUGGGGGUUGGAAAGUUUCGGCGGUUGGGGUUGGACGCGCGGCUUAUCAGCUUGUUGGUGGGUUAGUGGCUUACCAAGGCUUUGACGGGUAGCCGGCCUGAAAGGGUGACCGGCCACAUUGGGACUGAGAUACGGCCCAGACUCCUACGGGAGGCAGGAGGGGGGAAUAUUGCACAAUGGGCGGAAGCCUGAUGCAGCAACGCCGCGUGCGGGAUGACGGCCUUCGGGUUGUAAACCGCUUUCGCCGGUGACGAAGCGUGAGUGACGGUAAUGGGUAAAGAAGCACCGGCUAACUACGUG
rnacentral:rRNA from 1 species